UCCUCCUUCGGCCUGGCCGAUUGUGUGCUCCCUGCGACCUGCCCUGUGCACACCGUGUCAGUCACAAGGCUGCCACAACCACGGCUGGCUGCUCUUUCUUCAGCUUUUAGUCUUGAGCUUUUGGGCUCCCAUCGCGGGCUAAGUCUGUGAGUGUUCCCUGAAGCGGGGCUUCGCCACAGCGCCUGGCAGCAAAACCACUCUCAAAUCUAACCCUCCACAGCGAUGGUGGUACAGUAAAAUUCUGUGUUUUGUUCAGGAGGUGGCAGGAGGGGAAGGGGCAUCGGCAGAGCCAGGCAAAGGAAUCCGUGAGAAAGCUUUCCUCUCCCAGAUUGCGUCCCACAGCGGAGCACGCCAGGGAGCUGCACCUGCAGAGGGACAGGGCCCCGAGCUGCUCAGGUGUGGCGGUGCCUGUCUGCAGCGCUGAAGAUGCAGACCCAAACCAGAACCCGAAUUUCCUCCUCAGGGGUUUCCUGCCACAGGAGCUGAGAUAUAAAGCCAGAACAGCACAGUCACUGGACUACAAGGAGUAACAAAAUCCAGCCAUCCAGUGCGCAGCCAUUUAUUCUGAGGCGGAUCCAUCUGUGAACUAAUGGAGCUUUGGAGAGAAACCCAAUGAAAAGAGUCUUUUGCUUGUUAGAUUUACAACUCCAUAAAAACGUAUAAGCCUGCUUAGAUUUACUUCACAGCACAGCAAAACACUCAUUUUACUUGCACACAGACAAUUUUUUUUUUAACAUAAUACCUGAAAAAUAAAGAUUAGGAAACUGUUACUGCCCUUUAAAGGCACAUUGUUAUUCAUCAGCAGCGUGUUUUAGUUUCCACUUUAUGUAGCAUAUGAAGGAUUAGGAUUUCAGUGAAAGAGAAGGACAGAAUAAAUUGCAUCCUCUACCAAAGAACUGCCAGACCAUUUCAGAUGGGUGCAUACCAGGAGCCCUUCCCAUGUUAGUCAGCUUUAUCUAAACCUUCCAAAGCAAUGUCUGCCCCUGAAUUUCAUGGGUUUCAGGGUCAGUCACAACAGAAUUGUGGGGCUGGGGAGGUCAGAGGCCAUUUUUGUCAAAGGGUAGUGACCUUAGCAGCAAGAGGUAGCCUGACAAAAACAGGAUUCAUGCUACUGAAUGGAGUUCUCACUGCUCUUCCCCCGCUGAGCCUUUUUUCUACCUGGUAAUGAAAAAUCUUGAAGAAUUGUAGUGGAUUUUUAUAGGCGUACAUACAUAUAUACAUUUGUGUGUGUGUGUGUGUAGAUCUAUUUAAAAACAUUAAAUGUGUUAUGUCAGUUAUGCUGUAAUAUAUUAGUUUCUAUUCUCUAUAUAUUAGAUAUCUAUCAUUUAUUAUAUGUCUUAGCCUCUGAAAAAGAUCACAUCUUUAUAAAAAUGUGUACUUGUUGUUAGGAAAAAAGAGAAUGUAAGCAAGAAAUUAAAAACAAAAAAAAGAGAGAAAAUGAAAAGGGAAAAGAUGCAGACCCAAAGAGAAAAAAUUAGAAAAAAGAGAGGAAAGAUAGGAAAGAAGAAAAUAGGAAAAAAUGACACAAGGGAAACUGCAAUUGAGACUGAAUGUUUCAGAAUGUGGUGUAAAAGUUUCAUCAGCAACGUUUGCAUAGUCACAUAUUUACUUCAUAUGCACAUAAAUGCAUGGCUAGGCAAGAAAACUCAGCUUUUAGCUUCCAUGGUCAAGGGAAAGAAUGAAAUAGCAGCCUGCAGACUCUGCCUCGGGAGGUUGCGCAGUUUGGGAUGAUUUGAGACAUCCUUGCCCCUCACCAGACGUUCUCUGCAGAGGUGACGGUGCUCCCCGUUCGGGUGACAGCCUGACACCUGAAAGCUGCCCUGGCUUCUGCUGUGGUGGGGUCUGAGCUGCAGUGGCCCAGGACGAGUCCUGCUUUACUUGGCAGCUCUUCCCAUGCAGGAGGUGGCCUCUGUUCCACCAUUCUACACACUGCCCCCCAUGAAUGUCUACUUUAAAUUUCAAAGCCCUCCUCAGGAAGCAGUUCAAUGGUAGUUGGAAGUGUGCACUCCCAAGGCAUCAACACAAGUUUCUAAAUUAAAUUUUUAAAAAAGAGGAAAAAAAAAGAAAGACUGUGGAGGCUUUUUUGCAAAAGACUUUCCAAGCCCUGUUUGACUGAUGAUGUUCUUGGCUCUUUUUUACAAGCAGCUUUGUGAUACUGCUGUUGGUCAUAAUUUCUCCCAAGACACCCAGGAUGUUGCAGUCAGAAAUGUUUUAUUAUUUCUGGGUCUCACACUGUGUCCAAUAUCCCUCCUCCUUCCUGAACAGUAUGCCUGAGCUCUUGAAAUCAGGGUAGCAGAGUUGUCCCCAAAGGUGUUGAAGGAUAUGGAAUAUUUGUAUGCUAAAAUAGUCUCAUUGUCUCCUCUUUUUCAGUCAAUGGGGAUUAGUCUUCUUUUGGUUUAAAAAUUUACUAUAAAAAAGAGCAGAAGUGCCUCUGGCUUCCCUUGAGUGGUGCUUGGCCUCAGCACCAUCCCGAUCUUUCCAAGGAUCCAGCCUUGAGUUACUGGUCAGAUCUACCCACGGACAUCUCACCAAGGCAUCUGGUCCUUGGAGGGACCUUGGCACGUCAAGAUCACCAAUCCAUCAGAUCAAACUUACUGGAUCAACAGAAAGGUGCAUCAAUAUACAAAGUUAGGUGUAAACUGAAACCUACAGCAACACGUGUCCUUUUAAGGAACCAGACAGAGGAAUUUAUAUGA